rnacentral:rRNA from 1 species
AUUCAGGAAAAGGAUAUUAGUCCAACUUUAAACCCCUUUGUAAUGCCAAAUACACUAAUAGGUUUAAAAUUUAUUCAAAUAAGGUACAGCCUAUUUGAAACAGGGUACAACCUAUAACAGAGGGUAAUGCCAAAACUAACGUGACCAAGUAGGCCUAAGAGCAGCCAUCUUUUAAAAAGCGUUAAAGCCUUAUCACACCCCAUAAUUAAUAUCAACCAAAACCCAAAACCCCUCAUCCAUACUGAAUUACUCCAUACUCAUAUGGAAAAUCCCAUGUUUGAACUAGUAAUAAGAAUAACUUCUCCAAAACGUAAAUGUAAGUCGGAAUGGACCACCCGCCGACACUUAUCGCCAAUGAACCCACAGUAACAACUUCCCCAAGAAAACUUUACUUUCCAUCAACGUUAACCUUACACAAGAACUUUACUGGAAAGAUUAAAAAAAGAGGAAGGAACUCGGCAAACACUAACCCCGCCUGUUUACCAAAAACAUCGCCUUCUGAGAAUCAAUUGAAGGUCCAGCCUGCCCAGUGAUAAACUUAAACGGCCGCGGUACUUUAACCGUGCAAAGGUAGCACAAUCACUUGUUCUUUAAAUAAGGACUAGUAUGAACGGCAUCACGAGGGUUAUACUGUCUCCCCCUUUUAAUCAGUGAAACUAAUCUCCCCGUGAAAAAGCGGGGAUAUUUAUAUAAGACGAGAAGACCCCAUGGAGCUUAAAACCAAGUGCCACUUGCACCUCUUACAUCACCUAAACUCAACAAGCCUGCCCACUGGUUUUUGGUUGGGGCGACCGCGGAGUAAAAUAAAACCUCCACGACGAAAGGAAAUAACCUCCUAAUCAAAGAGCUACUACUCAUAGAAUCAAAAUAUUGACCUAAAUUGAUCCAAUAUACUUGAACAACGAACCAAGUUACCCUGGGGAUAACAGCGCAAUCCAUUUCAAGAGCCCAUAUCAACAAAUGGGUUUACGACCUCGAUGUUGGAUCAGGGUAUCCCAGUGGUGCAGCCAUUACUAAAGGUUCGUUUGUUCAACGAUUAAAACCCU